UACAGAGGGUGCGAGCGUUAAUCGGAAUUACUGGGCGUAAAGGGUGCGUAGGUGGUUGAAUAAGUCAGUUGUGAAAUCCCAGGGCUUAACUUUGGAAUUGCGUUUGAAACUAUUUGACUAGAGUUCAGGAGAGGGAAGUGGAAUUUCCGGUGUAGCGGUGAAAUGCGUAGAUAUCGGAAGGAACACCAGUGGCGAAGGCG
rnacentral:rRNA from 1 species